GAAAUUACGUAAUUUGUAAAUGUAAAAUAUAUUUGCUACAAACUUAUACGCUAGCAAAUCGACUUGCAAAGUAUAUAGUUUAAUAUAUCUUAAAAACAUAAGGGUUUGCAUUUCAGGGAAAGGAUUGAGAGAGGUACUAUUUCCUGCUAACAAACUCAAACACAUUCCACUACUUAUUUUGAGAAGUCAAAGCUAUCUUUAUUUCAGGUUUUUUUAAAGCCACUUUUACUAGUAGGUUGACAUGAGAUAGAAAGCGUUGAAAACAAAUAAAAACCACAUUUUCUAAAUUUUUGGACAUUUUCUCUAAAUAUGUAAAACAUUCAAAAAAUGGUUUUUAAACUUUAUAUCUGAAAGACUAAAAGACAUUUAAGAACCAUGUUGGGUUGAAAUAAAUUUUUAUCAAUCCAUAUCUAGCAUAUGCUGAUAUAAAGAUAUAAAACUAAACCGUUAAGAAAGAAACGUCAAAAUAAUUUUUUUCUGCUUCUUCAGAUGUUUGUUCUGAUAUAACACCGAGUCUUCUGUCUAUGAAGAUAAUUCCUAAGACGAAACCUCAUUAUGUAAAACUUCUAUCCUCUAUUUUAUUCAGUGAAGUCUUCUACGCUAACAUCAUAAAUAUUGAGUUUUAAAAGAAGUAUGGAUUCCAUAAGAACAUUUUUUUCUCUUUAGAAAACAUGUCAUGUUUUGUGCCAAAACAGCAUUUAGCAACUAAAUUAGACAAAGGCUAACAAAUAUUAAGUUGCUGAAAAUAAUAGCACUAACAAAAUCAAAUUUCUUAACCUUAUGUAACUCGCACAAUUGGCCAGGUACCCGAGCAGCACAACUUAGUAGGCCCAACGUUGGCCCAACGUAUUUCUGAUUGUUGGGCCAAGGAGGCGUUUUGGUAGGCUGUAAGUUGGCGUUGUACUAGCAUAUGGUUGGCUGCCCAUCGUGCCUACGUUGACGUAACAUACACUUAAUAUUGUUGGCGCAACGUUGGCCCACUUAUGGUUUUAAGUUGUUGGUGCAACGUUGGCCGAACCAAGUAAAACAGUUGGCGACACGUUGGCAUAACGCAUUUCGUAUAAUGCUGACUUUACAUUGGCACUGUUGGUAUGGGUUUGUAGGGCUAUGCUGGCGUAAUAAUGUUUAAAGGUUGAAAACGCGUUAGCAUAUGAUCGGCCGCCCAUCGGGCCAAUGUCGGCAUCGUGUAUACUCAAUGUUGUUAGCACACUGUUAGUUUUAUAUUGUAUUCGCAUUUGUGCAUUUUAUUAACGUUGGCCUAAGACUUCAAGCAUUGUUUCCAACAAUGUUAGCAACGCGUUGUGUGACGACUAGGAUGAUUUGAUACUCAUUGAACUAACGUUAUUAUGAAAGUUGAAAAUGUAAAAGUAUUUAAAGUUACAUAAAAGUAUUAAAGUUAAUAAAUUUGUUGGUUUC